rnacentral:rRNA from 1 species
CGAAGGAUCCAAGCGUUGUCCGGAUUUACUGGGUUUAAAGGGUGCGUAGGCGGACUUUUAAGUCAGUGGUGAAAGCUUGCAGCUUAACUGUAAAAUUGCCAUUGAAACUGAAAGUCUCGAGUGUGGUUGAGGUAACUGGAAUAUAUCAUGUAGCGGUGAAAUGCUUAGAUAUGAUAUAGAACACCAAUUGCGAAGGCAGGUUACUGAGCCACAACUGACGCUGAGGCACGAAAGCGUGGGGAUCAAACAGGAUUAGAUACCCUGGUAGUCCACGCCGUAAACGUUGAAUACUCGUUUUCAGCGAUAUACUGUUGGAGACUAAGCGAAAGUGAUAAGUAUUGCACCUGGGGAGUACGAUCGCAAGGUUG